rnacentral:rRNA from 1 species
UGCGUAGAGAUUGGAGUAACACCGUUGGCGACAGCGCUCUAUUGUGUCGCUCCCUACCCUCAGCUGACGAAAGUUAGGGUAGCGAAAAGGAUUAGAUACCCCCGUAGUCUUAGCCGUAAAUGAUGGAUUCUAGGCAUGGUUUGUAUCGACUCUACAUGCGCCGAAGCUCACGCGUUAAGUAUCCCCUCUGGGGAGUACGCAUGCAAGCGUGAAAUUCAAAGGAAUUGACGGGGGCCCGCACAAGCGGUGGAGGAUGCGGUUUAAUUCGAUGCAACGCGAAGAACCUUACCAGGGCUUGACAUCUCGCGAAGUUUGGGGAAAUUUUAGACGUGCCUUCGGGAACGUGGUGACAGGUGGUGCAUGGCCGUGGUCAGCUCUGUUUCGUGAGAUGUUGGGUUAAGUCCCGCAACGAGCGCAAUCCUCCUCCCUAGUUGCCUGCAUUAAGUUGGCCACUAUAGGGAGACUUUCGUUGACAAACCCGAGGAAGGGGAGGAGGACGUCAAGUCAGCAUGCCCCUUAUGGUUUGGGCUACACACACCCUACAUUGGUCGGGACAAAGGGGAGCGAGCUCUCGCGAGUAAGCGAAUCCCAGCAUACUCGGCCUCAGUACAGAUAGCAGGCUGCAACUUGCCUGCUUGAAGGAGGAAUCGCUUGUAAUCGCAGGUCAGCAUACUUCGGGGAAUUCGUUUCCGGGCCUUGUACACCCCACCCGUCACACCACGGAAGCCGGCCAAGCCGUUCAGUCAAGACGAGCCUUACCCCUGGAGGGGCACGCCUAAGGCAUGCCGAGUGACUGGGUCGAAGUCGUAACAAGGUAACC